UUCAAGAGUUCACAGAAUCUACGGAGGUGCCAGCGUUGGGCUUGGAGACUAUGUCAUGAGAAGCAAUGCCCAAAUCACCCCAUGAGCCUGGUCAGUAAAAAACCUACUUCUUCCACCCUUAGGCACAGACACCUCAUCCCAGGACAGAUGCUGGACACCGAAUAUGGGCCCCUGCCACUGUUGCCACCCAUCAGGACAUCUCUUCAUCACUGCUGGCUGGAAAAGCACUUCUCCACUCUGUCUUUUUGCCCUCUUUUCACAUGGACACCUCUCUUGAGUGCAUCUAGCUUUUUAAGCCCAAGGCUAGGAAAGAUUUUAACCGGACCACUAAUGUCAGAAAGGAUGCCAAUACACUCAGUGGAGAGCUGCUGCUCAUUUUCCCUGCGCAAGAUACAGAAAUCUGGAAUUCAAAGAGAGGACUCAAGUGGCCUGGGUUCCUGA
rnacentral:lncRNA from 1 species